rnacentral:tRNA from 1 species
GCGAGAGUGGCGGAACUGGUAGACGCGCUGGAUUUAGGAUCCAGUAGCAUUUGCUGUAGGGGUUCAAGUCCCCUCUCUCGCACCA